UACGGGGGGGCAAGCGUUGUUCGGAAUUACUGGGCGUAAAGGGCUCGUAGGUGGCCAACUAAGUCAGACGUGAAAUCCCUCAGCUUAACUGGGGAACUGCGUCUGAUACUGGAUGGCUUGAGUUUGGGAGAGGGAUGCGGAAUUCCAGGUGUAGCGGUGAAAUGCGUAGAUAUCUGGAGGAACACCGGUGGCGAAGGCGGCAUCCUGGACCAAUACUGACACUGAGGAGCGAAAGCCAGGGGAGCAAACGGGG
rnacentral:rRNA from 1 species